rnacentral:rRNA from 1 species
GACGAACGCUGGCGGCACGCUUAACACAUGCAAGUCGAACGGACUUGAGAGAGCUUGCUCUCUCAAGUUAGUGGCGGACGGGUGAGUAACACGUGAGCAACCUGCCUUUAAGAGUGGGAUAACGGUCGGAAACGACCGCUAAUACCGCAUAAUAUACAUGAAUCGCAUGGUUUGUGUAUCAAAGAUUUAUCGCUUAAAGAUGGGCUCGCGUCUGAUUAGCUGGUUGGUGAGGUAACGGCUCACCAAGGCGACGAUCAGUAGCCGUACUGAGAGGUAGAACGGCCACAUUGGGACUGAGACACGGCCCAG